UUCUAAGCACUAAAUGCAAGUCUCCUUCAUGGGUGUGGGGGACUGGUUCAUUAGAAAUAAGUCCCCCAGAGUCUUGUGCAGGUAGUUUGUAGAGACAGGCUUGCACAGAUAGUUGUGGAGCAAUCGGACUCCUGUGCAGACAGACCAAGGACUCUUUGUCAGCUUGUGCGUGGUUCCCGCCUGUGAUGACAUUGUUCUUGAGUGGUGGCAAAAUAGAAAGUUGGAAUCCUUAUGUCAGCUCCAGAUGACUGGAAACAUUCCUCAUCUAUGAAAUCUCAAAGUCUGGGAAUUUAUGAAACAUUUUCAGACACAUAAUCUUACUCAUUUCCCAUCUGACAGGGUCAGCCUCAUUGACAGCAUUACAGAAAGGCUUCGAGAUGUCUCCUUGUGACCAUGUUGUGCAUGAACCAUCCCUGGCAUCUCACCUUGCAGGUGAGGAGGCUGCAUCCUAACCAUGGUAAGUCCUAGCUGUCUCUGUGGGUUUGGAGAUCUGGUUCAUUCUGUUCAUGUGGGAUGGUGGGAUUCAGCAAAAAUGGGAGAGUUGGGCUGUGAGAUCUUGAAGGUCAGCUCAUCAGGAACUCAUUUUUUGCAUAUAUAUUGGCACCUCCUAUGCAGUAAGCAGCAUUCUAGGCACUCGGGAUACAUCAGUGGAUAAAACGGAUGAAUGUCCCUGCCCUCCUACAGCUGACAUUCUAGGAAAGAAGGAAUAUGAAUAAUCAACAGUAGACCAGUAAAUAAGGAAAUUAAAUCAUAGGUUGGUAGGUGGUAAGUGCUAUAGAAAAGAGGAAAAGUGGUGGGGAAGCUAGUGUCAGGAGGGGGUGAAGUGGGUCACAGCUUACAGAGGACUGGCCAGAGAGUCUGUGA